UUUGUUCAUUUUUAUACACUUCUUCGUUCGGUACGGUUAUUGCUGUCGCUCGCGCUGUACGCGCUUUACGAACGUAUUUUUUGUUUUGUCUUAUUUUUCUUUUAAAAAAUGUUUUAAAACUUCCGUUGUGUAUUGUUCUUUUUUUUUUUUUGUUUUUUUGGCUCAAUGCAAAUUUGAAAAGUAAUUCGUUAAUGUCAUCAAUUAAAGCAAAGUGAGCGAGUGUGUAAAGAGAGUUUGAUUAAGAGCGGAGCGGAGGCGCUCUCGUAGUUUGUAAAGCAAUAAAAACAAACGCUGCCGACGCCUAUGCGGACGUCGACGUCGUUGUCGCUGUAAAAAAGUGCAAUAUUAAUUGACGACCAAACGGGAGAGUAAUAUUUAUACACACACAUACACAGAUGCACACACACACACACACACAGCCAGACAAAUAAUAAUGUUAUAACAACGAAUUAGAAGCAAACGAAAUCAACAAGAAUCAAAAAGCGCCGCAAUUGUCAACGAUUUCGGGUUACCACUGUACUCACUGCAAUGAAGAAGCAGCAGCAGCAACACCAGACCCAACAACAACAACAACAG